GACACUAUGUGUUGUUGGGUAGGGGAGCGUUCUGUAAGCCUGUGAAGGUGUGUCGUGAGGCAUGCUGGAGGUAUCAGAAGUGCGAAUGCUGACAUAAGUAACGAUAAAGCGGGUGAAAAGCCCGCUCGCCGGAAGACCAAGGGUUCCUGUCCAACGUUAAUCGGGGCAGGGUGAGUCGACCCCUAAGGCGAGGCCGAAAGGCGUAGUCGAUGGGAAACGGGUUAAUAUUCCCGUACUUGGUGUUACUGCGAAGGGGGGACGGAGAAGGCUAUGUUGGCCGGGCGACGGUUGUCCCGGUUUAAGCGUGUAGGUGUGUGUUCCAGGUAAAUCCGGUUCACUUUAACACUGAGGCGUGACGACGAGGCACUACGGUGCUGAAGCAACAAAUGCCCUGCUUCCAGGAAAAGCCUCUAAGCAUCAGGUAACAUCAAAUCGUACCCCAAACCGACACAGGUGGUCAGGUAGAGAAUACCAAGGCGCUUGAGAGAACUCGGGUGAAGGAACUAGGCAAAAUGGUGCCGUAACUUCGGGAGAAGGCACGCUGACACGUAGGUGAAGUGAUUUACUCAUGGAGCUGAAGUCAGUCGAAGAUACCAGCUGGCUGCAACUGUUUAUUAAAAACACAGCACUGUGCAAACACGAAAGUGGACGUAUACGGUGUGACGCCUGCCCGGUGCCGGAAGGUUAAUUGAUGGGGUCAGCGCAAGCGAAGCUCCUGAUCGAAGCCCCGGUAAACGGCGGCCGUAACUAUAACGGUCCUAAGGUAGCGAAAUUCCUUGUCGGGUAAGUUCCGACCUGCACGAAUGGCGUAAUGAUGGCCAGGCUGUCUCCACCCGAGACUCAGUGAAAUUGAACUCGCUGUGAAGAUGCAGUGUACCCGCGGCAAGACGGAAAGACCCCGUGAACCUUUACUAUAGCUUGACACUGAACAUUGAGCCUUGAUGUGUAGGAUAGGUGGGAGGCUUUGAAGUGUGGACGCCAGUCUGCAUGGAGCCGACCUUGAAAUACCACCCUUUAAUGUUUGAUGUUCUAACGUGGACCCGUGAUCCGGGUUGCGGACAGUGUCUGGUGGGUAGUUUGACUGGGGCGGUCUCCUCCUAAAGAGUAACGGAGGAGCACGAAGGUUGGCUAAUCCUGGUCGGACAUCAGGAGGUUAGUGCAAUGGCAUAAGCCAGCUUGACUGCGAGCGUGACGGCGCGAGCAGGUGCGAAAGCAGGUCAUAGUGAUCCGGUGGUUCUGAAUGGAAGGGCCAUCGCUCAACGGAUAAAAGGUACUCCGGGGAUAACAGGCUGAUACCGCCCAAGAGUUCAUAUCGACGGCGGUGUUUGGCACCUCGAUGUCGGCUCAUCACAUCCUGGGGCUGAAGUAGGUCCCAAGGGUAUGGCUGUUCGCCAUUUAAAGUGGUACGCGAGCUGGGUUUAGAACGUCGUGAGACAGUUCGGUCCCUAUCUGCCGUGGGCGCUGGAGAACUGAGGGGGGCUGCUCCUAGUACGAGAGGACCGGAGUGGACGCAUCACUGGUGUUCGGGUUGUCAUGCCAAUGGCACUGCCCGGUAGCUAAAUGCGGAAGAGAUAAGUGCUGAAAGCAUCUAAGCACGAAACUUGCCCCGAGAUGAGUUC
rnacentral:rRNA from 1 species